rnacentral:rRNA from 1 species
ACAAUGGGGGCAACCCUGAUCCAGCCNUGCCGCGUGAGUGAUGAAGGCCCUAGGGUCGUAAAGCUCUUUCGCCUGUGAAGAUAAUGACUGUAGCAGGUAAAGAAACCCCGGCUAACUCCGUGCCAGCAGCCGCGGUAAUACGGAGGGGGUUAGCGUUGUUCGGAAUUACUGGGCGUAAAGCGCGCGUAGGCGGACUGGAAAGUUGGGGGUGAAAUCCCAGGGCUCAACCCUGGAACUGCCUCCAAAACUAUCAGUCUAGAGUUCGAGAGAGGUGAGUGGAAUUCCGAGUGUAGAGGUGAAAUUCGUAGAUANUCGGAGGAACACCAGUGGCGAAGGCGGCUCACUGGCUCGAUACUGACGCUGAGGUGCGAAAGUGUGGGGAGCAAACAGGAUUAGAUACCCUGGUAGUCCACACCGUANACGAUGAAUGCCAGUCGUCGGGUAGCAUGCUAUUCGGUGACACACCUAACGGAUUAAGCAUUCCGCCUGGGGAGUACGGUCGCAAGAUUAAAACUCAAAGGAAUUGACGGGGG